rnacentral:lncRNA from 1 species
CAGAGAAUGUAGCAAAAGGACAAAAUGCAGUUGACCGGGUGCUUUUACUGGCCUGUGACAAAUCUGCAAAGUAGCUUGAGAAAAUUUAAGGAGAAAAUAUGUUUUAUUGGAUCAAUAGGACUUCAUACAGCAGUGCCUGUGCAUGGAAAGGUGUGUAUCUGGGGCACUGCUUUUUCUCCUGUGUGAUGUUUCUAAAACAGGACUAUUUUUACAUACUCCAAAGUCCCAGAAAAAUGUUCUCAGAAGAAUAAAAGCACAUUAAAGCAUAUUGAACUGCAAAGAUGCAUCGCCUAUUUGCAAGGGUGCAGUCAGGUGGCAGCUUCAAGAGUGCAGCAGUCUUCUCAGCAGCCUCAAAGCAUGGACACACACUAUGGGCAGAGAAGACAAGUGAGCAUUGGUUGCAGUAUAGGAAGCAAGUUUCCAGGCAUGUGGCUCAGGCUUCAGUGAAAUGGUUUGUUUCCUGUCUGGAAACCUCAGGCAGCUGUUACAGAGGGGAGAUGAGAUGCUCCAGUGAGCAAUCAAGUGAAAAGAAGUCUCAAGUUGUGGUGACAAAACGUAUCCUGGAACUAUUUCAAUCCUGCUCUGGCAGCAUCUGAAUUCCCUGCCCAGCUGGUGGCUAGGGCUUAAUGCCUCUAUUUCCAUCACUCUCCAGCCCUAUGAAGUAAAACCUCGAUGGCAUACAGCUAUGAGAUAACAGUCUCCAUGGGGCUGAGUCAUAGGACUUUUCAUCUAGGGCUGAACAAUUAACUUGCCAUCAUUUUUCUUUGCCUCCUGCCAUUCCUUUUUUUCUACUCUCUGCUACAGAAAUUUGCAUUUAUUCUCCAUCUUCACACUGCUGCAUUGAAAUUUGUCUCAGACCACCAAGUAAAGCAGCUGCCUGUGGAUCCUCCAUAACCAUUCACCACAGGGACCAGGCUACAACUAUCCCUGCCUGCUCUGGGAGGAGGGAGAGCAGCCCACAGAUGAAGAAAUACAUCAAAACAAGAGGCAGCAACCUUGAAGAGCUUGUUUAAAAUAAAUAUUCUGUGCUUUGACUAAAGCUAGUUUGG